rnacentral:rRNA from 1 species
UACGUAGGGUGCUAGCGUUAUCCGGAUUUAUUGGGCGUAAAGGGAGCGCAGGUGGUUUCUUAAGUCUGAUGUGAAAGCCCACGGCUUAACCGUGGAGGGUCAUUGGAAACUGGGAAACUUGAGUACAGAAGAGGAAUGUGGAACUCCAUGUGUAGCGGUGGAAUGCGUAGAUAUAUGGAGGAACACCAGUGGCGAAGGCGGCUCUCUGGUCUGUAACUGACGCUGAGGCUCGAAAGCGUGGGGAGCAAACGGG